ensembl:lncRNA
CUUUUUGACUUAAGAGGGAGAGAGAGGAGGGAGAGGAGCGGAGGCUGGGGGCUGGCGGACUCAUCGAGCUCUUGCCGCUUCCCCCAUGCGUUCUCCUCGGGCUGCCCAGGCCGGGAACAUCACAACCACAGCUGCUGGUGUCUCCUAGGAUGGGGGUGCAGGACAUUGAUCUCCAGUGGCACAUCUGGUGUGGCAGCUGGAAAGUCCGCGACCACCAUGGGCAUGGGCCUCAGUGAAGACUUAAGCUGCAUGCACAACACUACAGCAACCUCAUCUCACAAAUGAAGCUCCAAAAGGCCUGGAAAACUACGCAGCUUUGUUGCCUAAAACUCCAUUGGCAUCCCUUCAGCUUGAAGGCAGUAACAGAGGCUGGAGUAGUGGGGAAGGAAGAAAGGUUCCACAUGGAGGCGAGCUCAGAUGGAAGUGCAUGUGCCCCAGAUGUCUUGCAACACCAGUCUCACUGACUGAAAUGGAAAAGAUGUGGGAUGACAGUUGAGAGUAUUGUCAAUGACUUUGCUGUGCUGUGGAUUUAAUGGGGGUUUAUUACACAUAUCUGUAAUGUGGUAGGCAGAGUUGGCCGCUUCUUACUUUGUAUUUCCUUCUCCUUCUCUCAUAUUUGCUGAUCUCUCUGGUUGCUUCAUGUUCUCUUCUUUUUAUUGGUUAUUUGUUUCUCUAUUUAUUUUGAUGCUUCUUUGCCAUAGACAAUACAAACCUUAGAAUGAGCACAGAAGGAAGAUGUAGGUUCAAAAUUUUUCCAACCAAAAAACACAAGAUGAAUUAUUCUUAACAGCAUGUUCUGAAGGCUGAAAUCCGUAAUGCAGCCUGACAUUUUAAGUGUACAUCACUUGAAUUGUUGCCAGCUUUCUAGAGUGAUUAGGUGACUUGAAAAAGGCAAAUAUUUUUUCAUAUGCUUCCACUGAACUGGAGGCUCUGCUGCUGAAAAGACUUCAAUAAUCCUGGCUGUAUUUAUUUCCCAAAGCCUCACUCAUCAUUGUCAAAAUGUUAUCAGCCAUCUCCAGCUUUCUCUCCAGCCCAGAAUCUAAUUCCAAUUAUUAAAAAAAAUCCCUUUUUGAAAAUGAAUCUUCUGCAGUACUCUCUAUUUUUCACAUAAGACUUAAUCAAUUAUUAAAAGGAAUGUAUAUGCCGAAUAACUGUUAAGCUUAAAUGAAACUGCUUUUGUGUGUUGGAGGAAGCCAUGCAGGAGCACAUGGCUCAUUCUGGGGUCUUGGGCAUGGCAAGUAAAUUCACCAGCAAGGAUUGCCUUGGAAGGAGUAUUGGAUGGAAGUAGUCAGUGCUUGACCUUGUCUUUUGAUUCUGAGUAGAAAUGACGAAUUUGGUUCUAUGAACAUAUUACAUCCUUCUGAAAAGCAGCAAGGAACUCCUAUUCUGGAAGGAGUGUCCACCCACCAAUACACACAGGAUGACUAUAAGGCCAUAAAUCCACACUUUUCCCUGUUCUGCUGGGACUUUCUUAGGAGUAAAAGGUUUGCCCUGAACUCCAGUGCAACUGGCCUUUUCCCUGCAAAUACCCAAAGGAUAGGAAAAGCUCAAGACAUCAUUAAAUGUACUCCAUUUAUUUCUACAUGAUGUUUCAUGGUGUCUGAUCUGUGAAGGUGUAGUAACAAAUCUAAUAUGUACACAAGAA